rnacentral:rRNA from 1 species
UACAGAGGGGGCAAGCGUUAUUCGGAAUUAUUGGGCGUAAAGGGCGCGUAGGCGGCUUGGCAAGUGGAUGGUGAAAUCCCUCGGCUUAACCGAGGAACUGCCGUCCAAACUGCUUCGCUUGAGACCGGGAGAGGUGAGUGGAAUUCCCAGUGUAGCGGUGAAAUGCGUAGAUAUUGGGAGGAACACCAGUUGCGAAGACGGCUCACUGGACCGGUACUGACGCUGAUGCGCGAAAGCGUGGGGAGCAAACGGG